rnacentral:rRNA from 1 species
AUUGAACGCUGGCGGCAGGCCUAACACAUGCAAGUCGAGCGGAUGAAGGGAGCUUGCUCCUGGAUUCAGCGGCGGACGGGUGAGUAAUGCCUAGGAAUCUGCCUGGUAUUGGGGGAUAACGUCCGGUAGCGGGCGCUAAUACCGCAUACGUCCUGAGGGAGAAAGUGGGGGAUCUUCGGACCUCACGCUAUCAGAUGAGCCUAGGUCGGAUUAGCUAGUUGGUGGGGUAAAGGCCUACCAAGGCGACGAUCCGUAACUGGUCUGAGAGGAUGAUCAGUCACACUGGAACUGAGACACGGUCCAGACUCCUACGGGAGGCAGCAGUGGGGAAUAUUGGACAAUGGGCGAAAGCCUGAUCCAGCCAUGCCGCGUGUGUGAAGAAGGUCUUCGGAUUGUAAAGCACUUUAAGUUGGGAGGAAGGGCAGUAAGUGAAUACCUUGCUGUUUUGACGUUACCAACAGAAUAAGCACCGGCUAACUUCGUG